GACAUGAAGUCAGGCCACUAAACCCGCUGAAUUUAAGCAUAUAAGUAAGCGGUGGAAAUGAAACUAAACAGGAUUCCUUUAGUAAUGGCGAAUGAACAGGGAAUAGCUCAGAAUGAGAAUUAGGGCUGCAAGCCCUGACGUGUUGUCUGGAGAUUGACUGCCAACAUUUGUGCAGAUGAAAGACUCUUGGAAAAGAGUGCCACUGAGGGUGAGAGUCCCGUGUGACAUCUGUAGCUUUUGUGCACGGCAGUUCUAUCCAAGAGUCAUGUUUCUUGGGAUUGAAGCAUAAAGGGGGUGGUAAAUUCCAUCUAAAGCUCAAUAUAGGCUCAAGACCGAUAGAAGACAAGUACCAUGAGGGAAAGAUGAAAAGGACUUUGAAAAGAGAGGUAACAGUGCCUGAACUUGCUGAAAGAGAAGGGAAUGGAACCAGAACAUGCAGCAAGAUUGCAACUCUUGGUAGGCUUGUCAUGGUGUCCUGAACACAUGUUCUGGCACCAUUACAACUUAGCAUGGGUUGUGUUGCUUGCUGUUUGUGUCAUUGGCAGCAUUGUUGUACGUGAUAUUCUUUGCAUCUUGAUUGUGCUUUCUGAAGGACAUGAAGAGCAUUGGGCAUCCUACUGCAGUGCUGCUCUCCACGUUUCUUGCUCAGCUGAAGCCUUGUACUCAGGAUCUUUCACAGGUCCUGCACUAGGAGGGGGAUGCUUGCAUGAACGAUCCAUUUGGCUCAAUGGUUCUAUUCUACCCGUCUUGAAACACGGACCAAGGAGUCUAACACGUGUGCAAGUUUCAGACUUGUAARUGUCCUGUUGCGAAAUGAAAAUGUGUGCUGUGAUAUUUUGCAACAGCUUCCAACUGAUCAAUUGUGAGAGGUUUGAGUGUGAGCAUACUUGUUAGGACCCGAAAGAUGGUGAACUAUGCCUGAGAAGGGCAAGCUCAGGGGAAACUCUGAUGGAGGCUCGCAGCGGUACUGACGUGCAAAUCGUUCGUCAUACUUGGGUAUAGGGGCGAAAGACUAAUCGAACCAUCUAGUAGCUGGUUCCCUCCGAAGUUUCCCUCAGGAUAGCUGGAGUUGUGGAGUUUUAUCAAGUAAAGCGAAUGAUUAGAGGACUCGGGGACGUGCUGUCCUCGACCUAUUCUCAAACUUUAAAUGGGUAAGAUCCAGUGGUUUCUUUUCUGAACUUCUGGGAUAAAUGUAAACUCUAAGUGGGCCAUUUUUGGUAAGCAGAAUUGGCGAUGAGGGAUGAACCUAACGCUGUGUUAAGGUGCUGAACUGCUCGCUCAUCAGAUGCCACAAAGGGUGUUGGUUCAUUUUGACAGCAGGACGGUGGUCAUGGAAGUCGAAAUCCGCUAAGGAGUGUGUAACAACUCACCUGCCGAAUGAACUAGCCCCGAAAAUGGAUGGCGCUCAAGCGUGUGACCGAUACACAGCCAUUUUUGCAAGCAUGCAUCAAUGAGUAGGAGGGCAUGGAUGUGGUGGAGAAGCUUUGUUGUGAAACAACUUGGAGCAGCAUCCAGUGCAGAUCUUGGUGGUAGUAGCAAACAUUCAAAUGACAACUUUGAAGACUGAAGAGGAGAAGGGCUCCAUGUGAACAGCAAUUGGACAUGGGUUAGUCGGUCCUAAGGGACAGGUUUGCUCCGCUCAGAGAAGCUCUGCUUCGUCUCUUGAAAGGGAAUGGGGUUAAUAUUCCUCAACAUGGACUUGGAUACUGUAUGGCAACAUAAGGGAUUUCAGCAACGCAGUUGGGAGUUCUGGGCAGCGUUGUCUUUUCUUUUUAACUGCCUAAUGCCC
rnacentral:rRNA from 1 species